rnacentral:rRNA from 1 species
CCUACGGGAGGCAGCAGUGGGGAAUAUUGGACAAUGGGGGGAACCCUGAUCCAGCAACGCCGCGUGAAGGAAGAAGUCUUUCGGGUUGUAAACUUCUUUUCGCAGGGACGAAGCAAGUGACGGUACCUGAGGAAUAAGCCACGGCUAACUACGUGCCAGCAGCCGCGGUAAUACGUAGGGGGCAAGCGUUAUCCGGAUUUACUGGGUGUAAAGGGCGUGUAGGCGGGUGUGCAAGUCAGGGGUGAAAACCAUGGGCUCAACCCACGGCCUGCAUUUGAAACUGUAGGUCUUGAGUGCAGGAGAGGCAGGCGGAAUUCCUAGUGUAGCGGUGAAAUGCGUAGAUAUUAGGAGGAACACCAGUGGCGAAGGCGGCUUACUGGACAGUAACUGACGUUGAGGCUCGAAAGCGUGGGGAGCAAACAGGAUUAGAUACCCGAGUAGUC